rnacentral:rRNA from 1 species
UACGAAGGGGGCUAGCGUUGCUCGGAAUCACUGGGCGUAAAGCGCACGUAGGCGGAUUGUUAAGUCAGGGGUGAAAUCCUGGAGCUCAACUCCAGAACUGCCUUUGAUACUGGCGAUCUCGAGUCCGGGAGAGGUGAGUGGAACUGCGAGUGUAGAGGUGAAAUUCGUAGAUAUUCGCAAGAACACCAGUGGCGAAGGCGGCUCUCUGGACCGAGACUGACGCUGAGGCGCGAAAGCGUGGGGAGCAAACAGG